UGCAAGUCGAACGGAGCACCCUUGACGGAGUUUUCGGACAACUGAUAGGAAUGCUUAGUGGCGGACUGGUGAGUAACGCGUGAGGAACCUGCCUUUCAGAGGGGGACAACAGUUGGAAACGACUGCUAAUACCGCAUGAUACAUUUGGGCGGCAUCGCUUGAAUGUCAAAGAUUUUAUCGCUGAAAGAUGGCCUCGCGUCUGAUUAGCUAGUUGGCGGGGUAACGGCCCACCAAGGCGACGAUCAGUAGCCGGACUGAGAGGUUGACCGGCCACAUUGGGACUGAGAUACGGCCCAGACUCCUACGGGAGGCAGCAGUGGGGAAUAUUGGGCAAUGGACGCAAGUCUGACCCAGCAACGCCGCGUGAAGGAAGAAGGCUUUCGGGUUGUAAACUUCUUUUAAGAGGGAACAGAAGAAGAGGGUACCUCUUGAAUAAGCCACGGCUAACUACGUGCCAGCAGCCGCGGUAAUACGUAGGUGGCAAGCGUUGUCCGGAUUUACUGGGUGUAAAGGGCGUGUAGCCGGGGAGACAAGUCAGAUGUGAAAUCUGGAGGCUCAACCUCCAAACUGCAUUU
rnacentral:rRNA from 1 species